UAACUGCUGAGCCAUCUCCUCAGCCCCCUUAAAUAAUUUUCUUAUAACUAAUAAGGUUUUUAAGUUAGGACUCAAAAAAUGUCCAUGCAUUACCUCAAUGUUCUUUCCUCUCUCUUCAGUUUGCGUCUGAUACCUAGACAUAGUCAGCCUGUGAUAGAGCUGCAGAUGAAGGGGCCUCUUUGUAACAAGUACCACUCAUCUUCCUCUGGUACCAAUCUCCUGGCUUGGUGCCAGUUCAGCUUCCUAGCCAACUGGACGCAGCCUCCUCCAAAGGACAGCAAACUACAGCACCACAGCGGACUCUGAUGUGCACUGCUCCCAUGGAUCGUUGGUAAUUAGGGGACAGACCUCGAGAGCACCGGAUACUGAGCUAAUGGCAAUUACAAUCCAAGAAAUAAGACCACGUCCACUCUCUGUCACCACUGUGUCUCACACCAUCAAGGGGGCCAUGAGGGCUCUGACUGGUCUGGAAUGUGCUGUGCAGACCAGGCCGACCUAGAAGUCAAGCACAGAGAUGAAAGGCACACACCACCACCCUUAGUUUAAUUUCAUUUUGAACACUGAGUUGCUGCAUCGUUCUUCAGGCUGCCACGAAGAACUAAGACUUUUGUCUCCUUGUAACUUUUGUUCUUCUGGCCCUAACAUGGUGCUGGUGAGAUUGAAGUCAAAUAAUUUGAGUUGGCUGUAAAGUUGAACAUUUCACUGUGAUGAAUAUGUGUGGUUUCAUAUUGCCUUCUGACCGGGCAUUUGGUAAGCAUUUUAUGUUCCCUUGGUUGUUCCUCUUUUGUACCUUGUACGAGUGCCAGUCUUAAAUUUGCCAGAGAGAGAAAAAUGCAACUGAAAUAAGUCAGGUAAAGAAAAAAGAUUGUGUAAUUGCAAGAUCCUGUGAGGUGGAGGGGGGGAGAGGAAGAGGGAG